UACGUAGGGUGCGAGCGUUGUCCGGAAUUAUUGGGCGUAAAGAGCUUGUAGGCGGUCUGUCGCGUCUGCUGUGAAAAUCCGGGGCUCAACCCCGGACUUGCAGUGGGUACGGGCAGACUAGAGUGUGGUAGGGGAGACUGGAAUUCCUGGUGUAGCGGUGAAAUGCGCAGAUAUGAGGAGGAACACCGAUGGCGAAGGCAGGUCUCUGGGCCACUACUGACGCUGAGAAGCGAAAGCGUGGGGAGCGAACAGG
rnacentral:rRNA from 1 species